rnacentral:rRNA from 1 species
AACGAACGCUGGCGGCAUGCCUAACACAUGCAAGUCGAACGAGACCUUCGGGUCUGGUGGCGCACGGGUGCGUAACGCGUGGGAACCUGCCCUUAGGUUCGGAAUAACUCCCCGAAAGGGGUGCUAAUACCGGAUAAUGUCUUCGGACCAAAGAUUUAUCGCCUUUGGAUGGGCCCGCGUUGGAUUAGCUAGUUGGUAGGGUAAAAGCCUACCAAGGCGACGAUCCAUAGCUGGUCUGAGAGGAUGAUCAGCCACACUGGGACUGAGACACGGCCCAGACUCCUACGGGAGGCAGCAGUGGGGAAUAUUGGACAAUGGGCGAAAGCCUGAUCCAGCAAUGCCGCGUGAGUGAUGAAGGCCUUAGGGUUGUAAAGCUCUUUUACCCGGGAUGAUAAUGACAGUACCGGGAGAAUAAGCACCGGCUAACUCCGUG